CGUAAAGAGCUCGUAGCGGUUUGUCGCGUCUACCGUGAAAGUCCGGGGCUUAACCCCGGAUCUGCGGUGGGUACGGGCAGACUAGAGUGCAGUAGGGGAGACUGGAAUUCCUGGUGUAGCGGUGAAAUGCGCAGAUAUCAGGAGGAACACCGAUGGCGAAGGCAGGUCUCUGGGCUGUAACUGACGCUGAGGAGCGAAAGCAUGGGGAGCGAACAGGAUUAGAUACCCUGGUAGUCCAUGCCGUAAACGUUGGGCACUAGGUGUGGGGGACAUUCCACGUUUUCCGCGCCGUAGCUAACGCAUUAAGUGCCCCGCCUGGGGAGUACGGCCGCAAGGCUAAAACUCAAAGGAAUUGACGGGGGCCCGCACAAGGGGCGGAGCAUGCGGAUUAAUUCGAUGCAACGCGAAGAACCUUACCAAGGCUUGACAUGAACCGGAAUGAUGCAGAGAUGUGUCAGCCACUUGUGGCCGGUUUACAGGUGGUGCAUGGUUGUCGUCAGCUCGUGUCGUGAGAUGUUGGGUUAAGUCCCGCAACGAGCGCAACCCUCGUUCCAUGUUGCCAGCGGGUUAUGCCGGGGACUCAUGGGAGACUGCCGGGGUCAACUCGGAGGAAGGUGGGGACGACGUCAAAUCAUCAUGCCCCUUAUGUCUUGGGCUUCACGCAUGCUACAAUGGCCGGUACAAAGGGUUGCGAUACUGUGAGGUGGAGCUAAUCCCAAAAAGCCGGUCUCAGUUCGGAUUGAGGUCUGCAACUCGACCUCAUGAAGUUGGAGUCGCUAGUAAUCGCAGAUCAGCAACGC
rnacentral:rRNA from 1 species